rnacentral:rRNA from 1 species
CGGCGGACGGGUGAGUAAUGCCUAGGAAUCUGCCUGGUAGUGGGGGAUAACGUUCGGAAACGGACGCUAAUACCGCAUACGUCCUACGGGAGAAAGCAGGGGACCUUCGGGCCUUGCGCUAUCAGAUGAGCCUAGGUCGGAUUAGCUAGUUGGUGAGGUAAUGGCUCACCAAGGCGACGAUCCGUAACUGGUCUGAGAGGAUGAUCAGUCACACUGGAACUGAGACACGGUCCAGACUCCUACGGGAGGCAGCAGUGGGGAAUAUUGGACAAUGGGCGAAAGCCUGAUCCAGCCAUGCCGCGUGUGUGAAGAAGGUCUUCGGAUUGUAAAGCACUUUAAGUUGGGAGGAAGGGCAGUUACCUAAUACGUGAUUGUUUUGACGUUACCGACAGAAUAAGCACCGGCUAACUCUGUGCCAGCAGCCGCGGUAAUACAGAGGGUGCAAGCGUUAAUCGGAAUUACUGGGCGUAAAGCGCGCGUACAUAAAUUGUUAAGUAGAAUGUGAAAUCCCCGGGCUCAACCUGGGAACUGCAUUCAAAACUGACUGACUAGAGUAUGGUAGAGGGUGGUGGAAUUUCCUGUGUAGCGGUGAAAUGCGUANAUAUAGGAAGGAACACCAGUGGCGAAGGCGACCACCUGGACUGAUACUGACA